UGGAGGAAAGCAGGGGAUCGUAAGACCUUGCGCUUUUGGAGCGGCCGAUGUCUGAUUAGCUAGUUGGUGGGGUAAUGGCCUACCAAAGCUUCGAUCAGUAGCUGGUCUGAGAGGACGGCCAGCCACACUGGGACUGAGACACGGCCCAGACUCCUACGGGAGGCAGCAGUGGGGAAUUUUGGACAAUGGGCGCAAGCCUGAUCCAGCCAUGCCGCGUGAGUGAAGAAGGCCUUCGGGUUGUAAAGCUCUUUCAGCCGGGAAGAAAAGGCUGCGACUAAUAAUCGCAGGUCAUGACGGUACCGGAAGAAGAAGCACCGGCUAACUACGUGCCAGCAGCCGCGGUAAUACGUAGGGUGCGAGCGUUAAUCGGAAUUACUGGGCGUAAAGGGUGCGCAGGCGGUUUUGUAAGUCAGAUGUGAAAUCCCCGGGCUUA
rnacentral:rRNA from 1 species